rnacentral:rRNA from 1 species
GACGAACGCUGGCGGCGUGCUUAACACAUGCAAGUCGAACGGAAAGGCCCUGCUUUUGUGGGGUGCUCGAGUGGCGAACGGGUGAGUAACACGUGAGUAACCUGCCCUUGACUUUGGGAUAACUUAAGGAAACUGGGGCUAAUACCGGAUAGGAGCUCCUGCUGCAUGGUGGGGGUUGGAAAGUUUCGGCGGUUGGGGAUGGACUCGCGGCUUAUCGGCUUGUUGGUUGGGUAGUGGCUUAGCAAGGCUGUGACGGGUAGCCGGGCUGGGAGGGUGACAGGCCACGUUACGACUGAGCUGCGGCCCGGACUCCUACGGUACGCAGCGGAGGAGUAGAGAGCACAAGGGGCGGAGGGCUAGUGCAGCAACGCCGCGUGCGGUGUGACGGCCUGCGGUUUGUAUUCCGCAUUCGCCUGUGACGAGACGAGAGUGACAGUAAUGGGUGAAGAAGCACCGGCUAACUACGUG